CCCCACACGGCCGGCAGCAGAGGCUGGCUGGAACCCGCCCAGCGGCCCUAUUCUGGCCGCUGGCAGUCCUCGCCUUGCCCGGGCGGGGCGGCUCAGGAAGGGCUGGAGGGGAAUCAGUAAAAAUCUGGGAGAUUGGUGCCGUUAAAAGUAGAGAACUGCCGAGACCAACUUUUUUUUUCCUGGACAAUGGAAAAUACUAUUAAGUUUUCCUUUUGUAUCCUGUGCUUCACUUCUGUAGGUAAGCUGUCUUUGGUUUCAUCAGCUGAGAGAUUACGUGAUGAGGUGGCUUGCUUAAAACGGGAAGAAACUAGACACAGCGAUUCAGGAGAGCUCUUUCAGCGUUACACUUCACGUUGUUAACCAAAAAUAUUAAACGCUGCAUCAAGUUACUACUUUCCUAAACUAAAUCUCGGCUUCGUUAGCUACGGUGAAGAAAAUCAUUGCAAGAUUUUCAGUUUGACAUGAAAAAUUAGGUAUUCUGGGAACAAGAAAUGCAAGCAGUUAUCGCCCAAAUGGGGAACACUCCCGAAUAAAGCCCUGGUGCCCAUAUGCCCAUAUUUUGAAAAAAAUGUUAAACGUCAGUUGGAGUGAAGAAAAGAAACAUUUAUAUUCUUUUGAAGCUGAAGAAAAUUAUUCAGGGGUAGAAACUUACAAGGCUGAAGUUGUUUAUCUUAGCUGAAAAAGACCAAGAAGCAAUUUGAUCGUACUUUGCAGGAAGGAACUAUUUGUUACGAAAUGGCUAUCAGGAAAAUGUACAGACAUGGGUGACCAGACCCACAAGCCAGUUAAAUUUAGAAAGAUUUCCCGCCCCCCCCUGUAAGAACCAACUAUUAAAAUAAAGUACUAAGAGGAACAGCAGAGUUACAGUCGUUGAAUAUAAAAAUCUGCUAGAUCUAGGUAUUUAAAUAAAAUUUGGAUCUCUCUGGUAUACAGGUUUAGGUAAACACAACUCCACACACAUAAUGCCAUGUAAGAAAACAGGAAAUCGAAAGGGGAUGAUAUAAUAUUGCUAUCUGGCUAGAAUUCAUUGUGAGUGUCUGUAAAUAGGGGUAUAUACUACUUCUCUGAAAGCAGUAGCUGCCAAAAAUCUGUUUUUCUUUGUCAGUCGGAAAGGGGAUUUUACUCUGUUGCUGAAUUCUUCUGCUUUUUAAAAUUCUUCUGAAUCAAUUUCGUUAGUUUCUUUCAACAACUUUAAAGAAGAGAAAUUUCUGGAGCAGACAUACUUCCUGGUUGCUUUUAACAUGUCAGUGAAAUACGCUGCUCCCUGUGGGUAGAAUUGUCAAAAUUAGUUGUUGUCAGUAAAAUGGACAGUAUUUUUAUUUUUAGGAUUAUUAUUUCAGAUGAGGUUGAAAGAUGCAUCUGUGACCUCAAAAUUAUCUCCCUAGUUUUAUGAUGUAGACAUUAAAGCAUUCCCUACAGACAUUAUUGCGCUUUUUUCCCCGUUUGUUUUCCUCUAGGAGCAGUAAGAGGCAUGCAGACCGGCAAGGUCUUAGGUUUUGUCUUCGUUGGGGGGUUUGGUGGGCGUUUAGGAGGGGAUUCCCCCUACAGUCCAGUGCUAAAACUUUUAAGUGCCCUAAUGCCUAGUCAGCAUUAUAAACAAAAAAUCAAAGCAUGGAGAUUCCACUUAACAUUACCAAACCCUACGAACUGUACAAAAUACUCCAAAGUUCGCUUUUCUGGUUUUUUAAUGGCCUUAGUUGUCCCAUCACCAGAGAGUGCUUGCCACUGCAGUUAGAGCAGCAUGUGGAGCAUUAAGCAGUCCACAGUCACCAAAGGCAGUACUCGCAUUCCGGAAAGCAUCACGCUUUGGGGCUGCAGCAGUUAGAAAUCAGUAAUUGCUCUCGCCGUUUUAUUUAUUUGCAAUUAGUACGUACUUGGGGAACAAUUUACAGCCAGUGAAUUAGCUCUCCAUUAGCCUGGCUGCGACUACUAGCCAGAGUUUCGGCUGUCCGUUCUCGUGAGAGGAGCCUGAACUCCUCCUCUGGAGCAACUUAUGUACAAAGGGAUGGAAGAUAAUUUGGAGGUUUCCCCCCGGGCACCAGUGAUUUAUUGCUCAGUAAUGUUGUUUUAAAGAACUAGACGCGCCCAAACGCUGCUUUCAAUUCUAACCGGGCUUCCCCCGAGGCAGACGCAAUCUUUACGGGCAACUUGCAAGCGUGCGGAGAAGGGGAAGUCUACGUGCCGCCGGCUCGUACCUGUUUCAGAACUGCUACUUGAGAUUUUACGGACCAAACAAACGAACUGCAACAUGCUGGUGUAGAAACAAGACAAGUCCUCUGAUGACAUCUAUGCGAGAUAACGGGAGUCGCAAAAAGCUUCCUUUCUAACCUCAGAUUUGCAUGAUUUGCUUUCGCCACCGAGGAGGGGAAGUACCGCGGAAUAAAUGCAGACGUAGACAGA